GAGAAAAUCCCUCUUGUCCACUAAACGGAAAUCAACUUGAAGCAUGUUGCCAACAGAUAUAUCAGCUUUCUCCAGGAAGAAAUGGCACUGAUGCUCCUAGACUGGAUUUCUCAUCCUCUAAGUCAGGCCUUAGCUGUAUAACCUUGGACAAGUCUGAACCUCAGUUUUCCUAUCAGUAAAAUGGGGAUAAACACAGUACUAACUUCUUCAUAAGUUGCUGGGAAGAUUAAGAUAAGGCACGUGAAACAUUAAGAAAAGUGCCAGGUACAUAUGUGAUCAUGCUACUGGUACCAAAUCUGAAUUUUCCUCAAAAAGACAUUAAAACAAUGGGCUUCAGUGCCAUCCUAAGUAGGGAAGGAGGAAAAUCAUCUUUGGCUCCCAUUCCUUUCCCCCCAGGAUGUUCAUACUAGUGAGAUCAAGGCCAAGUGAACUUCAAGGACAGCUAGGGAGGAAAAAAUAGAAAGGAUAAUGUGCACUUUCUGCAUUUCAGGGGAGGAUGUGGCAAUUGGAGAGAGAAAGUAUGAGGGUUUAGGAGGAUGAUAUGAACAGGAAAGGCCUUGGAAGCAAAGCCCCCAGGAAUGACUGGAAGACAACACUCUGCAGACCCCUUCCACAGGGUACCCCUGCUCUCCAGGAAGGGCCUUCAGGGCAGCAUUUGGAGGUGGCAUGAGCUAGCAGCGGCGUGCAGCCUGGUCACUGUCUGAUCUGGUCAGCCCAGCCGCACAGAACACCACACAGGCUCUGGCAGCUCCCUGGGAAAGAAGAAAGCAGCAUCUUGCAUGUGUGGCUUAUUCUGAAAGGAAUAGUAUCUGAGGGAUUUGAUGGACUCUGACAGGGGGAAGAAGGUAGUGAAAAAGAUGGAACAAAGAUGCCAUUUAAAAAUACUGGCUCGUGUUCAGGAUUUCGCUAUUUUUUACUGCAAGGAACAAGUAAAAAAAAAAAUCCUCCUAUUGAUGAGUAUUUUUCUACAGUCAUUAAAAGUCAAAGGACUCAGGGCUUCCGACUUUCCCUCUUGGGAAACCUGUAAGCUCGUCUUCUGGACAGCUUAGAAAAGGGCUG
rnacentral:lncRNA from 1 species